GUCCAGAGUUUCAGGCUUAAAGAAUGAAUAGAUAAAAAAUGCAUCAUUUCUCCACUGGGCCUAGCUAUUCCCAAAUGUUGGACUAAUGGAUUCAUUCAGGCAGCAAGUUAAUCCAUCAUUUAAGGAAAAUGAAUUCAUUUUAUCCACAAGAACAUGAAGUGAUGGAAAUAAUUUGCACCUGCCCAGCAUUCCUACAGUCUGUCAUUGGAU